UGGGGAAUUUUGGACAAUGGGCGAAAGCCUGAUCCAGCAAUGCCGCGUGUGUGAAGAAGGCCUUCGGGUUGUAAAGCACUUUUGUCCGGAAAGAAAUCCUUGGCUCUAAUACAGUCGGGGGAUGACGGUACCGGAAGAAUAAGCACCGGCUAACUACGUGCCAGCAGCCGCGGUAAUACGUAGGGUGCAAGCGUUAAUCGGAAUUACUGGGCGUAAAGCGUGCGCAGGCGGUUUGCUAAGACCGAUGUGAAAUCCCCGGGCUCAACCUGGGAACUGCAUUGGUGACUGGCAGGCUAGAGUAUGGCAGAGGGGGGUAGAAUUCCACGUGUAGCAGUGAAAUGCGUAGAGAUGUGGAGGAAUACCGAUGGCGAAGGCAGCCCCCUGGGCCAAAUACUGACGCUCAUGCACGAAAGCGUGGGGAGCAAACAGGAUUAGAUACCCUGGUAGUCCACGCCCUAAACGAUGUCAACUAGUUGUUGGGGAUUCAUUUCCUUAGUAACGUAGCUAACGCGUGAAGUUGACCGCCUGGGGAGUACGGUCGCAAGAUUAAAACUCAAAGGAAUUGACGGGGUCAUA
rnacentral:rRNA from 1 species